UACGGAGGGUGCAAGCGUUAUCCGGAUUCACUGGGUUUAAAGGGUGCGUAGGUGGGCAGUUAAGUCAGUGGUGAAAUCUCCGGGCUCAACCCGGAAACUGCCAUUGAUACUAUCUAUCUUGAAUAUCGUGGAGGUAAGCGGGAAUAUGUCAUGUAGCGGGUGAAAUGCGUAGAUAUCUGGAGGAACACCGGUGGCGAAGGCGGCA
rnacentral:rRNA from 1 species